rnacentral:rRNA from 1 species
UGCGUAGGCGGCCUGACAAGUCAGAAGUGAAAGGCUACGGCUCAACCGUGGUAAGCUUUUGAAACUGUCAGGCUUGAGUGCAGGAGAGGAGAGCGGAAUUCCUGGUGUAGCGGUGAAAUGCGUAGAUAUCAGGAAGAACACCAGUAGCGAAGGCGGCUCUCUGGACUGAAACUGAUGCUGAGGCACGAAAGCGUGGGGAGCGAACA